AGUGAACGCUGGCGGUAGGCCUAACACAUGCAAGUCGAACGGCAGCACAGUAAGAGCUUGCUCUUACGGGUGGCGAGUGGCGGACGGGUGAGGAAUACAUCGGAAUCUACUUUUUCGUGGGGGAUAACGUAGGGAAACUUACGCUAAUACCGCAUACGACCUACGGGUGAAAGCAGGGGAUCUUCGGACCUUGCGCGAUUGAAUGAGCCGAUGUCGGAUUCGCUAGUUGGCGGGGUAAAGGCCCACCAAGGCGGCGAUCCGUAGCUGGUCUGAGAGGAUGAUCAGCCACACGGGAACUGAGACACGGUCCAGACUCCUACGGGGGGCAGCAGUGGAGAAUAUUGGACGAUGGGGGCAAGCCUGAUCCAGCCAUACCGCGUGGAUGAAGAAGGCCUUCGGGUUGUAAAGCCCUUUUGUUGGGAAAGAAAAGCAGCAGGUUAAGACCCCGCUGUUCUGACGGUACCCAAAGAAUAAGCACCGGCUAACUUCGUG
rnacentral:rRNA from 1 species